CCUACGGGCGGCAGCAGUGAGGAAUAUUGGUCAAUGGACGCAAGGCUGAACCAGCCAUGCCGCGUGCAGGAAGACGGCUCUAUGAGUUGUAAACUGCUUUUGUACGAGGGUAAACGCAUAUACGUGUAUCUAUCUGAAUGUACCGUAUGAAUAAGGAUCGGCUAACUCCGGGCCAGCAGCCGCGGUAAUACGGAGGAUUCAAGCGUUAUCCGGAUUUAUUGGGUUUAAAGGGUGCGUAGGCGGUCUGUUAAGUUAGAGGUGAAAUCCCGAGGCUCAACUUCAGAAUUGCCUUUGAUACUGUGAGGCUUGAGAGUAGUUGAGGUAGGCGGAAUGCAUGGUGUAGCGGUGAAAUGCUUAGAGAUCAUGCAGAACACCGAUUGCGAAGGCAGCUUACCAAGCUACAACUGACGUUGAGGCACGAAAGCGUGGGGAGCAAACAGGAUUAGAUACCCGAGUAGUC
rnacentral:rRNA from 1 species